rnacentral:piRNA from 1 species
UGAUGGGUGACCUCGAUUGUCAGCUGU